rnacentral:tRNA from 1 species
CCCCGGUUAGCUCACUUGGUAGAGCGCUCCACCUGUAAUGGAGAGGUCCCGGGUUCGAUACCCGGACCAGGCG